GCCUGUUCAAACCAAAAAUAUUGUAUAUAAAUAAAUUCAACAGAAAAAGUUAAACUGCUUGCUUGCAUGCCAAGGUUGUAAAUCCAUCUACACAGCUAUAUGUAUUUUCUCAAGCAUACUUCCAGUCACUUCAGCAAGCCCAUUUCUAAAUGACUUCUUAGUUUUUCAGAAUACAGGCGGGCAAUUCCAGAAAUGACGGAACAAGUUGAAGAAUCGAUACAUGAAGCUAUAAUAGAAGAGAACGAUCAUUCACAGCAACCGGACGCAUCUGCUCUAUUUGAAUUAAACCUUAUUAUGGUGCUUCUUUCAUUAAAUUCUACCUCCAACGAUGAUUCCUUAAGUUUUGUUGAGGAAAGGGAAAAAAUUGUAAGAGAAAAUGAAGCUAGAUUAGACACUAAAAGAAAGGACAGACAUAAAGUCAAAUUUGAGGGACAACGACCACCACCCAGGUUUCAGCCUAUCAAGGACAUACGGCAUUGCAAAAGAAUGUAGACAAGAAGCAGCUCGGCCGGCAGAGAAAUGUAUACUCCAGGGGCACUGACGACAUCAAGAAAAGCCUGCACAGAAGGCUUCCCUUAAUAGAUAAAUGAAUGA